GACGUAGGGCGCGAGCGUUGUCCGGAUUUAUUGGGCGUAAAGAGCUCGUAGGCGGCUUGUUGCGUCGACUGUGAAAACCCGCAGCUUAACUGCGGGCCUGCAGUUGAUACGGGCAGGCUAGAGUUCGGUAGGGGAGACUGGAAUUCCUGGUGUAGCGGUGGAAUGCGUAGAGAUCCGGAGGAACACCAGCGGCGAAGGCAGGUCUCUGGGCAUUAACUGACGCUGAGGAGCGAAAGCAUGGGGAGCGAACAGG
rnacentral:rRNA from 1 species